rfam:Triticum aestivum genome assembly, contig: Triticum_aestivum_CS42_TGACv1_scaffold_602700_7DL
CUAGUACUCCCUCCGUCCGAAAAUACUUGUCAUCAAAAUGGAUAAAAAAAGAUGUAUCUAGAACUAAAAUACAUCUAGAUACAAGUUCUAGAUACAUCCCCUUUUAUUCAUUUUAAUGACAAGUAUUUCCGGACGGAGGGAGUAUAUG